rnacentral:lncRNA from 1 species
GCCCUCUGCACUUCACAAGUACAGAGGAAAGCGGGAAAGACAAGCUCCCAGCAGCCUCCGAGUGACGCACGAGACACGCCCAGAAAUACUUCUUACGCAUGCGCGAGGGGCAGCACGCAGGCGCAGGGAGUAGUACGCAGGCGCAGGGAACAGCGCAGGGUUUGGCAGGUCCCGCGCAUGCCCAGUACGCUGCGACCGCAGGCUAGGGGACAGCGCCGGGUCGCGCGGCUCCGGCAGGACAGCCGCCCUACGGAAUGAGGGGCUGUAACCUGGCUGCUCCCUCUGCCUCGCUCCAGCGCCAUGGAAUGCCUGCGGAUCCUGACUGGGCUCCUGCCCCGGAGAACCCUGUGCGCUCUGGCCUUGGGCCUCUGCCCCGUGGCUCGCCCUGUGGCCUCCUGCGGCCGCGCGACGCGCUUACUGGGAAGAAGCAGGGCUGCUCCGCUGUUCCUGCCCAGCCGGACCCUCGCGGCAGGUGAAGUGCACCAGUUUAGAACUCUUGAUGUUUCUCAAGCAACUCUAGCUAGCGUAGCCCCGGUGUUUACUGUGGUGAGUAUAUGGUACAUCUGAUAACUUGCAGAAAGUAUUUCCCAUACUUAUUAACAGCUGGACUAUUGGCCAAGCUAUUAAUUACUUGUGUUUUAUAGUGAAUUAUUUUGUCAUGUUGUUUGUGGGUUGUGCCUAGCCAAUGACUUGUGGUUUACAGUGAUCUUGAAACUUUGCUAAAGACUGUGGAGCUCUUUGAAUAAAAGAAUAGCUUAUUUAAGUCAUUAUUCAUAGCUUCCUAUGAUUUCCCAUUUAGAAGCCCUUAAAGAUUGUUAGCCAUAGCAGGGCUUGAACCUGUGGUCUACAAAAUUUUAUGGAGGAGUAU